UACGUAGGGGGCUAGCGUUGUCCGGAAUCAUUGGGCGUAAAGCGCGUGUAGGCGGUCCGGUAAGUCCGCUGUGAAAGUCGGGGGCUCAACCCUCGAAUGCCGGUGGAUACUGUCGGACUAGAGUACGGAAGAGGCGAGUGGAAUUCCUGGUGUAGCGGUGAAAUGCGCAGAUAUCAGGAGGAACACCGGUGGCGAAGGCGGGUCUCUGGGCCGAUACUGACGCUGAGGAGCGAAAGCUAGGGGAGCGAACGGG
rnacentral:rRNA from 1 species